rnacentral:ncRNA from 2 species
GUCGCACGACAGGGGAGCGUCCAAAGGAAGCUGAGAGUGCGCAAACGCGCAGACCCUCGAACCUGAUUCGGUUAGUACCGACGCAGGGAGUCAACCACAUACAGAC